rnacentral:tRNA from 1 species
GCGCACCAAUCGUAUGACGGUUGUUCGCGGCGCUUUGAUACAGCGCCUGCAGGUCGCCGCCCGACCAGAAAUCGCGUUCAAAGCGCUCGGUCUGCAC